rfam:Rattus norvegicus chromosome 12, whole genome shotgun sequence.
GGGGAUUUAGCUCAGUGGUAGAGCGCUUGCCUAGCAAGUGGAAGGCCCUGGGUUCAGUCCCCA